GGGGCUGGGCUUCCUGUGGGGCUUGGCUCUUGGAGGCAGCGAGUUUGGCGGCUGCCGUGUUCUUCCCCGCCAGCCCCGGUGCCCCGCCAGCUCCCGGUGCCCCGCCAGCUCCAGGAAAAUGGAUAAACAAAUGAACAAAAAGGCAUAUUUCUACAAUGAAAUGCUACACAAUUGAGAAAAAAUUACAUGCAACAUUGAUGAAUAUGUAAAACAUGAUCGUGUGGUGGAGGAGGCAGGGAACAUGGACACAGAAACCUCGCUGUCUUGGCUCAGAGAAGGUGACGGGCCAAUGGAGGGGGUGUUCGGGGGUCCAUUUUGCUUUGGGAAGAUU